UUUCAGGACCUAAAUAUCCUAAGGGCACCAGAUCCUAUCUGGUCUUUCAAGCUAAGCAAGGGCCAACUCUGGUAUUUUCUUGGAAGGGGAACUGCCAGAAAACACUAGGUGUUCUAUUCC
rnacentral:rRNA from 11 species